CCUUCCCCUUACAGGAAGGACUCCCUCCAUGCUGCAUCCCCCAACCCCUUUCAGGGCACCCCUGAGCCACGGGUAGGUAGGACAACGUCCAUUCCCAGCUUUGCAGCAG